CAAACUUGUCUUGUAACCAGAGUUGAUGGGACUCCUCAGCCUAAAGGAUUAAUAUACUAACAAGGUCCUCUGGCUCUUGAAAACUCAGCUCAGACACCAACAUUUCAACUUGGUGAUUAUAUCUUACUUAAAACUUAUGGAAAGGAUUUUUCCCUCACAUCUGCUCCUUGCAAAGUGAGAAGAUCUGUAUCUAGAUAUUUUAAGGAGGCUUUCAGGAGAUGGAAAAGCACGGAAGAAAGUGCACAGCUUUAAAAAGUUUUUAUGAUGGCUCUAUGGGUAAUUUUAGAAGGCCGCGGCAGGGUGCUGGCAUGAUCUGAGCAUGGUGGUGGCCGCAGGAGCAUCCUGGAUCUGGGUGCAGAAUCUGGAAUUGCUGAGAUAUCUGCAAUGCAGAGCAGCCUCUUCCCCGCCCCCACCGCAGCCUCUAGGGCAUUUUCUUGGGAGUUGGGGCACAGGAGCCCUUCCAAGAAUGGUUUAAAGGCGCGGACAACUGCAGCAGAGCGCCCCCUGGGAGAAAGGCUAGCGCAGCGCGGGAAAGCGUGUUAUAGGUUUUUUUUAUUUAUUUAUUUAUUUUUAAUAAAAAAAUUUAUUUAUUUUUUAGUUUUCGGCAGACACAACAUCUUUGUAUGUAUGUGGUGCUGAGGAUCGAACCCGGGACACACGCAUGCCAGACGAUCGCGCUACCGCUCGAGCCACAUCCCCAGCCUGAGUACUGGAUUCUUCCCUCCCUUCCCCCACCCCAGUAGGAUGAUAACAGACUUGAAAGAAGACCAUGCAUACAGAAGGAGAGACUUCAGCAUGCAAACUUUCAUCAGUUCGGCUUGCACUGUAUAGAUGCCCCAUUCACAUCAGUACAGUGACCACCACCAGCCAAAUGUAAGUGACUAACAGGGUUUUUUCUGCCUUAUCAUAUUCUGACCGGAUUUAGCAACCUCUAACUAAACAGAGGCGGAUGCCCCAAACCUUCCAUGAUCCCCUAACUGCUCUCCUGAGAAAACUUUCUGUUGACUUGAUCAAAACAUAUAAGCAUAUUAAUGAAGUUUACUAUGCAAAAAAGAAGCAGAGACACCAACAGGUCAGGGAGACAAAUCUAGUCAUAAGAAGGAGUGGAAGGUUUACAAUAAUGGUUAUGAUGAUGAUAACAAUGAUUAUUGUAAAAAACAGAGAAAAGUGGAUGGAUCGUUGCAAAAUUGACUCCUUGAUAGGCAAAGGUUCCUUUGGACAGGCUAUAAAGGCAUAUGAUUGGGUGGAGCAAGAAUGGGUUGCCAUUAAAAUAAUAAAGAACAAGAAAGCUUUUCUAAAUCAAGCCCAAAUAGAAGUGUAACUUCUGGAGCUCAUGAACAAGCAUGACACAGAAAUGAAAUACUACAUAGUGCAUUUGAAACACCACUUUAUGUUUGGAAACCAUCUCUGUUUAGUUUCUGAAAUGCUGUCCUACAACCUUUAUGACUUAAGGAACACCAGUUUCCUAGUGGUGUCUUUGAACCUCACACGAAAAUUUGCACGACAGAUGUGCACUACACUGCUUUUCCUUGAGACUCCAGAACUUAGUAUCAUUCACUGUGACCUAAAACCUGAGAAAAUCCUUCUUUGUAACCCCAAAUUCAGUGCAAUCAAGAUUGUUGACUUUGGCAGUUCUUGUCAGUUGGGGUAGAGGAUAAUACCAGUAUAUUCAGAGUCACUUUUAUGGGUCUUCAGAGGUGCUACUGGAAAUGCCUUAUGAUCUUGCUGUUGACAUGUGGUCCCUUGGGUGUAUUUUGGUUGAAAUGCAUGAUGGAGAACCUCUGUUCAGUGGUGCCAAUGAGGUAGAUCAGAUGAAUAAAGUAGUGGAAGUUCUGGGUAUUCCACCCGCUCAUAUUCUUGACCAAGCACCCAAAGCAAGAAAGUUUUUUGAGAAGUUGCUAGAUGGCCCUUGGCACUUAUAGACCAAAGAUGGAAAAUGAGAGUACAAACCACCAACAACCCAUAAACUUCAUAAUAUUCUUGGAGUAGAAAGAGGAGGACCUGGUGGGUGGCAUGCUGGGGAGUCAGGUCAUAUGGCAGCUGACUACUUGAAGUUCAAAGACCUCAUUUUAAGGAUGCUUGAUUAUGACCUCAAAACUCAGAUUCAACCUCAUUAUGCCCUGCAGCACAGUUUUUUCAAGAAAACAGUUGAUGGAGGUAUAAAUACAAGUAAUAGUGUAUCCUCAAGCCCUUCAAUGGAGCAGUUCCAGUCUUCAGACAUAACCUCCAGUACAUUGUGGAGCUCAGUGGAUCACAGGGGAGGAGCAACAGUGGGAGAGACAGGUCAGACCUGACACACCAGCAUGGGCACAGUGGCAGGCAUUUCACGGCUGCCAUCCAGGCCAUGGACUGUGAGUCACACAGUCCCCAGGUGUGUUAGCAAUUUCCAGCUUCUCUUGGCUGGUCAGACACUAAAGGUCCUACACAAAUCACUGCUGAAACCCAUCCCAUUCAAGAAACAACCUAUCAUAUAGCCCUUCAGCACAAUGCAUUGCAUCAUCAGCAUGGAAACAUUUCCCAUCAUUACCACCAAAACCAUGGACAGCAAGCUUUGGGUAACUGGACCCAACCAAGGUCUACAAUUCUUCAACAAAUAGCUCCUGUACUCAGGAUUCUAUGGAGGUUGGCCACAGUCACCACUCCAUGACAUCCCUGUGUUCCUCGACAUCUUCCUCCUCUUCUGGUAAUCAAAGCAAUCAGGCCUACCAGAGCUGCCCAGUGGCUGCUAACACCUUGGACUUUGGACAGAAUGGAGCUAUGGACAUAAAUUUGUCUAUUCCAGUCCCUGCCAAGAGACUGGCAUAGCUGGGCAUCCAACUCACCAAUUUUCUGCUAAUACACCUGUAUAUUACAUGACUGAGUGACAUCUGACGACGAGGCAAUAGGGCUGACGGAGAAGAAUCUCCCAUGACAGGAGUGUGUGUACAACAGAGUCCUGUAGCUAGCUCACGACUACAUUGAAACGUGUUUUUAUAGAAGUGGUGUAUUUUUUCCAAAAACAACGUGAAAAACUGCUUGAAUCAGAAGGACAUUAACACACUGAACUGCUACAAGUGGACAAAGCUGACUCUUUUUUUUUAAACUUGAAAAGAUUGCAAAGGGAAAAUGAAGUUUUUUAGAGUCAUGUCCAAAUCCGUCUUCAUGGAUAGCUCAGAGGUACCCUCUUUUUGCCUCCCCCAUUUAACUUGCCACCUCUUCGUCAUAGAGGGUUUUUUUUUUCCUUAUAGUCAAUAAAAAAAGUUAAUGUUCAGCUGUUGGUCUUGGUCAUUUGCCAACUAAUUUUGAAAUAAAAAGGCACAGUACAUAAUUUGCACAGGGCCCAUGAAGUUUUGAUUGUUUGUUUGCACCAACAGGUCCAAACUAGGAGCAGGAGUAAACCAGAACUCUCAGCAUGACCUGAAGUGAACCGGCUGGUAUUUAACACGUGCUUCAUUUUGAGAUUAUGCUGUCUUAAUGUAACACAGUUUGGCAGUUGCUAAAUGUGUGCUCCUAUUUUAAAUUGACCAAUUUUAGGGUGUUAUACUUUUGAGUAAUUAAAUUGGGAGAAUAAAGAUAUAGUAAUUUAUUACCUGUCCAGAAUCAAAAGAAGCCUAGAAAAGAAGCAGUUCUACCUCUGCUGAUAAUCCUGUUCAAAACAGUUCAGCAGAACACCACGUUACUUUUUAUUGGUUAACUCCAUGUGGCUGACUAGGUCAAUUUUUUCUGAAUAAAACAGGUUUUUAUAUGUAGUCAGUGACAAAAGAAAGGCUUAAAACUACGUAAAUGUGAAUGGAAACUUGGAAAUAUUUGUUUUUAUAAACCACAAUUUGCUUGUUGUUGUUAAUCAGGAAAUCCAUAUUUAUUUUGUAAUUAAAUGUCAAGACUGUUUUGAACAACCAACAAUAAAAAACUAAAAAAAAAAGAAAAAAAAGAUGUCAAGACUUUGGAUGAAAAAAAGAUAUUUUAAGUGUAUUCACAG
rnacentral:lncRNA from 1 species